rnacentral:misc_RNA from 1 species
GGCAAUUAUAGCUUAACUUUCCCAACAAGCAUGAAGGCUUUGUAAGUGACAGUCCUGAGCAAUUGAUGGCCUCCCCAGGCAUCUUCAAGCUCUUCAACAAAUUCCUUCUCCAACAAAUCCACGCUUUGUUUCUUUGCCUCAUUUGUAUGCAGAAGAUGAUUAUAUGAGACCCAAUAACCCUUCAAACGACAUCGUUUUUGGCAUGUUCAGCGACAAGGGCUCUCCUUCCCGCCCUAAUCCCACAUUCUCAAAAGGAAAUGGCAGAGACUUGUAACAAUCAAAAAGGCACUUGACAUUUGGAUUCCAAUAAGGCUCAGAAGCCUGAUGCAAUCGCUUUAUUAGAGGGUCGAAGGUUGGGCUCACCGUCAUCUCAUUGUAGCCCCAGACAGCAACAAUACCCCCAGGUUUUCGAAGCAGUCGAGUAACUAAGGCGUAGAAUUUUGGUUGGUCAAACCAAUGAACUGCUUCUGCCACAGUGGUCAAAUCUACUGAAUUUUCGCCGCCGAUUAGAUUAAGUAGCUCUUCUUCUGAUGUGGAUGAUGGGUAUGGAAAUAUCGAAUUUUAGGAUGUGAAAUUUCAUGCUUUAGCUGUUCUUCACUUGCGUCUGUUCCAAUCACUAGCUCAUAA